rnacentral:miRNA from 1 species
ACACAAGUCACCUGGGAUCUUGUUAAAAGGCAGAUUCUGAUUCCAUUGGUCAGCUGGGGUGGGGCCUGAGAUUCUACAUUUCUAAUAAGCUUCCAGAUGAAGCAGUU